UAACUCACCUACAAUUUGUAUCCUCCUUGC
rnacentral:piRNA from 1 species